rnacentral:rRNA from 1 species
AUACGUAGGGGGCGAGCGUUGUCCGGAAUGAUUGGGCGUAAAGGGCGCGUAGGCGGCGCGGUAAGUCUGGAGUGAAAGUCCUGCUUUCAAGGUGGGAAUCGCUUUGGAUACUGCCGCGCUUGAGUGCAGGAGAGGUUAUCGGAAUUCCCGGUGUAGCGGUGAAAUGCGCAGAGAUCGGUAGGAACACCAGUGGCUAAGGCGGGUAUCUGGCCUGCAACUGACGCUGAUGCGCGAAAGUGUGGGGAGCAAACAGGAUUAGAUACCCCGUUGGUCCACACUGUAGACGAUGAAUGCUAGGUGUAAGAGGUAGCGACCCCUUUUGUGCCGGAGUCUGCACAAAAAGCAUUCCUCCUGGGGAGUACGGCCGCAAGGUUGAAACCCAAAUGAAUUGACGGGG